UUUAAUCGUUUCGACUCGUCUUUAAUCUUCAUCCAUCUUUUUUUUCAUUACAUCUUUUUUCUCCAUCUAGUAAAAAUUAUUAUUAUCAACAUUCAAGUUUUAUGCAACAAAAUUAUCUCAAAAAAAAAAAAAUAAUUAUCACUGGAAACGUCAAAGGUCACUAUUUUCGACAUAGAAAAGUCACGAUCUGCAAUUUAUCAAAAAUUCUUCAAUUUUUUUCUCCGUAUAGUAAAAAUUAUUAUUAUCGACAUUAAAGAGUUUUGCAACAAAGAUAUUGCAAUAAAAUAACUAUCAUUGGAAAUGGUGAAGGUCACUACUUUCAGCAGAUAAAAACUAGCGAUCCGCAAAUCGAUUACACAAAAGCUCAUAGAACUUCGAGAACAACAAUUGCUCAAGAUAUAAAAUCAAAAAAAUGUCGAAAAUAAUUUUAUUAUUAUCAAUUUUUGUAUUGAUUGGUCUCUACGCUGGUGCAGAUGCAGCAUGUCCAGGCGGUUGGUGCCAUCCAUCCCAAGGUUAUGGCUGUUGUGAAGGAAAUGUGUGCAGUUCGUAUUUUUUCCAAGGUACGUGCAUAACUACUGCGGAGGCCGAUGACGAUAUACCUAUGAUAGGAAAAUAAUUAUAACAAUACAGUAAAAAUUUAAAGAUGUAUUUUUCCAAUUAAUAAAACUCUCAAUGCAU